rnacentral:piRNA from 1 species
UAAAACUCUAAAACCAUAGAUGGUCUCUGUU